rnacentral:misc_RNA from 1 species
UUUCCGUAGGUGAACCUGCGGAAGGAUCAUUAUUGUAUAACCGAGGUGCGAGGGCUGUCGCUGACCCGAAAGGUCGUGCACGCCCGAGUGCCCUCACACACAUCCAUCUCACCCCUAAGUGCACCACCGCGUGGGUCCCCCUUUGGCUUGUUCGGAGGGGGGCUUACGUUUUCACACAAACUUUGUAUGUAGUGUAGAAUGUAUUUUUUGUUUUUGCGAUCACGCAAUCAAUACAACUUUCAACAACGGAUCUCUUGGCUCUC